CCUGAACGCUGGCGGCGUGGCUAAGACAUGCAAGUCGCACGGAUGUAGCAAUACAUCAGUGGCGAACGGGUGAGUAAUGAAUCGCUAAUGUACCCCGGACUCUGGGAUAGCUACCCGAAAGGGUAGGUAAUACCAGAUAAUAUAACCUGACCGCAUGGUCGGGUUCUCAAAGGUCCGCCGGUCUGGGAGCAGGCGAUUUCGUAUCAGCUAGUUGGUGAGGUAACGGCNCACCAAGGCGACGACGCGUAGCCGGACUGAGAGGUCGGUCGGCCACAUCGGGACUGAGACACUGCCCGGACUCC
rnacentral:rRNA from 1 species